rnacentral:rRNA from 1 species
GGACCCGCACAAGCGGUGGAUGAUGUGGAUUAAUUCGAUGCAACGCGAAAAACCUUACCUGCGCUUGACAUGCCAGGAACCCCGAAGAGAUUUGGGGGUGCCCGAAAGGGAGCCUGGACACAGGUGCUGCAUGGCUGUCGUCAGCUCGUGUCGUGAGAUGUUGGGUUAAGUCCCGCAACGAGCGCAACCCUUAUCCUUAGUUGCUACGCAAGGGCACUCUAAGGAGACUGCCGGUGACAAACCGGAGGAAGGUGGGGAUGACGUCAAGUCCUCAUGGCCCUUAUGCGCAGGGCUUCACACGUCAUACAAUGGUCGGUACAGAGGGUCGCCAACCCGCGAGGGGGAGCCAAUCCCAGAAAGCCGAUCGUAGUCCGGAUUGCAGUCUGCAACUCGACUGCAUGAAGUCGGAAUCGCUAGUAAUCGCGGAUCAGCAUGUCGCGGUGAAUACGUUCCCGGGUCUU